GGGCAACCUUCUCCAAAGCAAGGAUAUUUUCCUGUCUAAACUGAUGCUUAUUAUUUAUAUUGGAAAGCUCAUCAAAAGCUUGAAGUUGCCUUUGCCUCGAAAGGAAUACAUCAUCUUCAAAUAUGCAAAGUAGAUUUAAUGUUGAUAACAUAAGAGUUACUGACCUUGUAUUUCAGCUGCUCUUACUGUGCACUUUGGCUUUUUCUGUAAUAAGAUCAUCUCUUACUGCCAGAUGAUUAUUGAUCACUUAUGACAGAAAGAAAAAGCCUUGACCAGACUCAUCUAUUCAUUGUGCUCGGCACUAACCAAUACCAAAAUGACGACACCACCCCCCCCCAAAAAAAAAAAAACAGAGCUGCAGUCUAGAAGAGCGUUUACAGCUGAAUCCAACAGGGAAGAAGGGAUCUCCUGGUCAAAUUGGCAUGUCUUAUCAACUUACCUUCUCCAUGAGAGCUGCAAGAACCAUGUUCUUUCUUUAAAGCUCAAGGAUGAUUUUCCAGGAAGAGACUUUUAAAAAUUACAACAAACAAGCCCCAGACUGGAAGGAGGCAAGGGAAGAAGUUACUGUCCUAUGGAUAAUGAGAAGCUGUACUUUCAAUGGAUUUAAUUUGUGUUCAUUAAGCAAGGAAGACAAUUAUUGUUUUUUUUAAUAUUUCAGGAAAUCAUACAGUAAAUGCCCCAAGAAAUGUACUUUGUUGAGGCCAGGACACACUCCAGCACAGCUUCCCACAUGAAGAGCUGUUUGCCAGGUCUGGCUGAUGUACAGUUUUUGUACGAUAUAAUUAUUUCAUUUUGGGGCAUGACUUUUUACCAAAUUAUUUGCAUUAUUACAACACUUAACAUGGAUGUUUUUACAUCAGAAUAAUUGUUGUUUUGUCCUCUAAUUAUGAGCAUAUUUACUAUAACAAAGAACUAGUAGGAAUAAGAGAUCCUUUAGGUCAUCUCCUCUAUUCCUCUGCCUGCAAUGGAUUAUUUCUUACAUAGUGUUCAUUAAAGAUUUUUCCAGUCUAUGAGAAACACUGAAGAGUCAUGUUAUUUGACCGGGGGGAAAUCGUAUAGAACCAGUGAAUAGGAUUAAAGGAACAUCAGAUGGAAACUUUUUUCAUAUGAAGUAUGACAUUUAUACCUUGGCAAUGAGCUAUAGUCACAGUAACUACAGAUUAUUUGCACAAUCAAAUCUUAUUCCAUUUCACAACACUCCCCAGCCUGUUUCCAUGGCAGUCAGAGAGACUUUGCCAUACUCUGUUGGAAGAAAAAUCCUGGAACAAUUGGACUACUGGUAUCUUACUAAUUUCAGUGUUUAAGCAGGAUAUGUGGUGCUUCAGUAUUGGCUAGUCUCCUCUAGGAUGUAUCUACACAUACAUUUUGUGUCUUUGAGGCAGAUCUUUUUCCCUAAGAAAGUGAAAAAAAUCAUAAAGGCCAAAUGCCUUUAUGCCUUGCAUGUAGCAAGGAUGCUACAUACAGUAAAUCAGGGAAUUUCUCUGUUUUAAAGACAAAUCUUAAUUGGAAGGUUU
rnacentral:lncRNA from 1 species